GUAAUGCUUUCUCCAGGUGGUUAUUGGAUCAUACAGGUGUAAUGCUUUCUCCAGGUGGUUAUUGGAUCAUACAGGUGUAAUGCUUUCUCCAGGUGGUUAUUGGAUCAUACAGGUGUAAUGCUUUCUCCAGGUGGUUAUUGGAUCAUACAGGUGUAAUGCUUUCUCCAGGUGGUUAUUGGAUCAUACAGGUGUAAUGCUUUCUCCAGGUGGUUAUUGGAUCAUACAGGUGUAUUGCUUUCUCCAGGUGGUUAUUGGAUCAUACAGGUGUAAUGCUUUCUCCAGGUGGUUAUUGGAUCAUACAGGUGUAAUGCUUUCUCCAGGUGGUUAUUGGAUCAUACAGGUGUAAUGCUUUCUCCAGGUGGUUAUUGGAUCAUACAGGUGUAAUGCUUUCUCCAGGUGGUUAUUGGAUCAUACAGGUGUAAUGCUUUCUCCAGGUGGUUAUUGGAUCAUACAGGUGUAAUGCUUUCUCCAGGUGGUUAUUGGAUCAUACAGGUGUAAUGCUUUCUCCAGGUGGUUAUUGGAUCAUACAGG